rnacentral:rRNA from 1 species
GAUGAACGCUAGCGGCAGGCUUCACACAUGCAAGUUCGAGGGGUAAACGAAGGUGCUCGCACCAGGCGACGACCGGCGCACGGGUGAGUAACGCGUAUGCAACCUACCUCAAACAGGGGGAUAACCCGGGGAAAACUCGGAACUAAUACCCCAUAAUCUUGUAAUACCGCAUGAUAUUACAAAUAAAGUUACGGCGGUUUGAGAUGGGCAUGCGUGCCAUUAGAUAGUUGGAGUGGUAACGGCACACCAAGUCAAUGAUGGCUACGGGGUCUAAAAGGAUGGUCCCGCACACUGGUACUGAGACACGGACCAGACUCCUACGGGAGGCAGCAGUGGGGAAAUAUUGGUCAAUGGACGCAAGUCUGAACCAGCCAUGCCGCGUGAAGGAAGUACAGCCCUAUGGGUCGUAAACUUCUUUUUAUACAGGAAUAAAAUUAGAUACGUGUAUUUAACUGAAUGUACUGUAUGAAUAAGCAUCGGCUAACUCCGUGCCCACAGCCGCGGUAAUACGGAGGAUGCAGGCGUUAUCCGGAUCUAUUAGGUUUAAAGGGUGCGCAGGCGGGAUAUUAAGUCAGUGGUGAAAGUUCUUCAGCUUAACUGAAAAAUUGCCAUUGAUACUGGUAUUCUUGAGUAUGGUAGAGGUAGGCGGAAUGUGUAGUGUAGCGGUGAAAUGCUUAGAUAUUACACAGAACACCGAUUGCGAAGGCAGCUUACUAUACCACAACUGACGCUGAGGCACGAAAGCGUGGGUAGCGAACAGGAUUAGAUACCCUGGUAGUCCACGCCGUAAACGAUGAUAACUGGUUGUGUGCGAUACACAGUACGUGACUGAGCGAAAGCAUUAAGUUAUCCACCUGGGGAGUACGUUGGCAACAAUGAAACUCAAAGGAAUUGACGGGGGCCCGCACAAGCGGAGGAACAUGUGGUUUAAUUCGAUGAUACGCGAGGAACCUUACCUGGGCUUAAAUGUAUAGUGCAUUAUUUAGAAAUAGAUAUUUCCUUCGGGACUCUAUACAAGGUGCUGCAUGGUUGUCGUCAGCUCGUGCCGUGAGGUGUCGGGUUAAGUCCCAUAACGAGCGCAACCCCUAUCGUUAGUUGCUAGCAGGUCAAGCUGAGGACUCUAACGAGACUGCCGGUGUAAACCGCGAGGAAGGUGGGGAUGACGUCAAAUCAGCACGGCCCUUAUGUCCAGGGCUACACACGUGUUACAAUGGUCAAUACAAAGGGCAGCUACUUGGCAACAAGAUGCAAAUCUCAAAAGUUGAUCACAGUUCGGAUUGGAGUCUGCAACUCGACUCCAUGAAGUUGGAUUCGCUAGUAAUCGUAUAUCAGCAAUGAUACGGUGAAUACGUUCCCGGGCCU